rnacentral:rRNA from 1 species
GGGUUGUGAGGUUAAGCGACUAAGCGUACACGGUGGAUGCCCUGGCAGUCAGAGGCGAUGAAGGACGUGCUAAUCUGCGAAAAGCGUCGGUAAGGUGAUAUGAACCGUUACAGCCGGCGAUGUCCGAAUGGGGAAACCCAGUGUGAUUCGUCACACUAUCGUUAACUGAAUACAUAGGUUAACGAGGCGAACCGGGGGAACUGAAACAUCUAAGUACCCCGAGGAAAAGAAAUCAACCGAGAUUCCCCCAGUAGCGGCGAGCGAACGGGGAGCAGCCCAGAGUCUGAAUCAGCUUGUGUGUUAGUGGAACGGUCUGGAAAGUCCGACGGUACAGGGUGAUAGUCCCGUACACCAAAAUGCACAGGCUGUGAACUCGAAGAGUAGGGCGGGACACGUGGUAUCCUGUCUGAAUAUGGGGGGACCAUCCUCCAAGGCUAAAUACUCCUGACUGACCGAUAGUGAACCAGUACCGUGAGGGAAAGGCGAAAAGAACCCCGGCGAGGGGAGUGAAAAAGAACCUGAAACCGUGUACGUACAAGCAGUGGGAGCACCUUCGGGUGUGACUGCGUACCUUUUGUAUAAUGGGUCAGCGACUUAUAUUCUGUAGCAAGGUUAACCGUAUAGGGGAGCCGCAGGGAAACCGAGUCUUAACUGGGCGUUAAGUUGCAGGGUAUAGACCCGAAACCCGGUGAUCUAGCCAUGGGCAGGUUGAAGGUUGGGUAACACUAACUGGAGGACCGAACCGACUAAUGUUGAAAAAUUAGCGGAUGACUUGUGGCUGGGGGUGAAAGGCCAAUCAAACCGGGAGAUAGCUGGUUCUCCCCGAAAGCUAUUUAGGUAGCGCCUCGUGAA